CGUGAUUAAAAGGGCGAAGAAACUGGAAAAGAAGGAAAAGAAGAGGAGGAGGAGGAGAAAAGGAAGAGAACUACUACUUGCCCAUGAGGUAAUUUCGUAUGGUCUUGACCCAGGAGGCGACUUGUCUCGGGUCUGUGUGGCUCAUGGUCACGCUGUGAUGGCUCCAUUUGUUCUUUGGCCCGUGCACAGCGUAGUGGAGAAUGAAAUUCGUCGGGCACACGGUAGGUGACGUGGGCGACGUUGUCAGUUGCUUCUCCUUAAAGUUUACCCCGUGUAUCCAAUCGUCACCGUAGCGAACGGCGAGCACGUCGGUCAUUGG